GUCAGCGAUUUUAAUUCGUCUACCUCACGUGGGAACGAAGGUAAAACAGAAGUCAACAUAAGUUCUUCCUCUUAUGGGGUAAAAAGGGGCCGUCUCCGGGUCUGGUCCGGCUGCGAGGUCGGCGUCUCUAUAGCUCCCGUCUUCUCCCACUCAGUCCUGGGGGGGAAGCGUAUUAGCGUAUGGGUUGGUGCGAUCUUCCCCUACCGCGUCUUUCCAACUCGGCUGUCCUCCUCGUCUGGUGCGUGCUCGGUCCGAGGCCUCUGCCGUCUCCCUCCCCCAGGUGAUCCCAAUGUCCAUGAUUGCCCGGGUGCGCUUGAUGCGCGCUCCCGCGCUGAACGGCACAUACCUCCCUCGGACUACCUGUCGACGGAGAGGGCGCUGCCCCCGGUGCAGGCGUGGUUCGACCCCCCCAGUUGGAUCGGGGUUGACACAAUAUAUACACAGACACACGGAUCUGACUGGGGAUAGGAUAGGACAGGUUAAUUCACUUGAGGCGGUAAACAGGUUGUUGUUUAUUCUCUUGCCAGAAGGACUACCUAGACUAGGCUACUUAAAAAUGUUUAUGAAUAUUAUUAAUAUAUUAUGACAUGCAAAUGAAGAAAUAACAGCACUGCCCAUCACUGUAAUAAACCAAGUUAAACUUCCAGAGCGACACGGGGGAAGAGAGAGAGAGAGAUCGAGAGAUCUAUUCGCCGAGAAAGAAGAGUUGAGGAAGAAAAGGUUGGAUUGAACAUUAAUACACCGUGACCGCGUUACGGGCACUCCCGAGACUCCCGUCGUGCCUCGGCCGCGGCACCCCGCGGCCCGGGCACCGUGACCUUGGCCGGGUGAAGACCAAAACCAACACUCUACAAAAGGCCCAUCAACAAGCUUUGCGUGGUCCUUGAUGCUGAAAACUCAGCUUAAGUCUGGCAAGGCCAGGCUCAAGUCUUCGAUUUGCACGCUUUCACAUACUGACACAAACAUACAUACUUGGAUUUGCGUGCCACACCAGCACAUACAUGUGCUUUCAUGGACUACUCAUUUAUGUAAUUAUAACCAUGUGUUUUCAUAUGAAGUGAACAUUAAACAGAACAGAUAGGUGCAAUAAAUAUACACAUGCACAAGGUAUUCAUAUUAAAUCAAUAUAUGGGCUACUAAAACUCAGCAAUCUAUUGUGUUGGUAACUUCACUCAAAUCUAUCUAGUCAUGCAAUUAGACAAAUAUGAUAAAAUAUGAAUAUAAUAUGUGCAACCUUUGUGGCUGUUCAAGACACACUGAAGGCAUGAUGCCACCAUAGGUUUGCAGAGAACUAUAUACAAUAUACAGUAACAAACGAGAGAGAGGCAGCAAAAAUGGGCGGGCCCACAGAGAGACCCACCAGGGUCGUAACAUUGGGCUAAUGCCCUUUGAAAAGGACUGUUUUCUUGAGCUUCUGUCGCAUGUUGUUGCUCUAAGCUUAGUGUAGUCAUUUGAGCGAUGUGGUGUAGCCUUAGCUUAAAAAACAAGGACACAACUAGUGUUAGCAGCAUAUGGUGGUGGCUGUCUAUGCCAUGCUGCGUGUCGCCGAUGUGCUCCCGGAGCACAAACACAUCCUUCGGCCUCCAUUGUUUCUUAGACACAGCAGGUGGGAGCUCUGGUCCUUGAUGGCGGAGGCAGCGUCGUGUCACCAGGCUGGCACGGCAGGCAUCACAGGACAGCUUCUUCAGAGCCCGUCUCACAACAAAUCAUGAAAUUUGGGUUAGUAUAAUAUCAUAACUUAUAAUAAUAUACGUGGGGAAAUUAAGGAGACAUUUCUUUUUUUGGACUGUCAAGAUUGUUCUCUGCCAGAGUUGACUACUGGCAGUAUCGGAUAUACAGGUGCUGGUCAUAUUAUUAGAAUAUCAUGAAAAAGUUGAUUUAUUUCAUUAAUUCCAUUUAGAAAGUCAAACCUGUAGAAUGUAUACAUUCAU
ensembl:lncRNA